rnacentral:misc_RNA from 1 species
AGUUUUAUGGAAGCACUUUAGACUUGGAUGAAGUUCUGAGUUUCAAUGCUUUGAGACCUUCAAAUCAUGGCUGCCGUUAUCUGAAAUUAAAAAACAGUUGUAGAUAUUCCUUUUAUUGCGUUCUGUUGAAAGUGUUUCUAUGAGCAUUCUGUUCUACAAUUUGGAGUGUCAUUCUGAUCGAUAAUGUUGAGAGAGAAAGCUUUUUGACAAGAUUUGGGUGCUCAUUGUGAAUUUGAUGUCUUUACCUGAGUGGAUGGCCGGUUGGCCCAUCUCAUUCCUCUGAUGUAUUUACUGAAGACGACUUUUUGGAUUGGAAAGUAUCUAUCUGCUUCUGCAAGUUAAGAUCUCUGUUUCAUCUCAUUCAUCUGUAAGUUGCUGCCUACCUUAUCAUGUUCUUUUUAUUCUAUUUCAAGUGCUUACCAUUUUUACAGAAUUGAAUGCUUUGGUGAAAGAAUCAUGGGCUACAACGGCAGAAUUACAUUAAAAAAUUGAUCUCCUUCAAAAUUCAUUGGUUUCUAAAUUCUAAGUAGGCACAAAAGUUUGAUAGUUUAUUACCGCUAUCACAAGCAUGAUUCAUUUUCUUUCUUUGUUUUUUAUUUUCGAUAAUUACAUUUUUCUAAAUUUACUUAUGAACAAAUAAAUAUAUGCAUUUGUUCAGAUUUCUCCCUAAUCUAAUGUUUCUGCCAUAGGGUUUUGAAGUAUUUAUCAAUCAUUAACCCAAAUUGAAGUUUCAUCUUCCUUGCCUAGAGAAGCUGUGGAUUGCAAGGAUUUUCAUCUGUGCAAUACCGAAUGCAGCAUGCUAUAGUCCUCUGUUCUCUUCGUAAUAUUUAUUAUUUAAUGAAUGGAACCUAUUGGCAGUGGAUGAACUUCAACUUGCUGCCACUUUUUAACAACUUCGGACUGUAGAAUUUCUUUAUUGAUUUCUUGAGAUAAGGUACAACUUCCAAUUUGUCUUUCUGCUAUGCGGCAUUUGAUCUGGAAGAAACAUGCUCUGUUUAAUGAUCCUCUGUUUUUUUCUUUUUCUUUUUUAAUAUAUAACUUUCACAUUUUAAUAUAUUAUUUUCAUCUGUUUCUUCGCUAAAGAAAUCAUUUAUGCGAUUGAAGAAUUGUUGGGGACUUUUGUCACAAGAUGCAUGUUCUGAGUGAGAUCUGGAAUGUUUGGGGACUUAAGGUUGUUGAAGAUUAAAUCCAAUAAGAAUAAGAUUUUAUGUAGGUAUUCCACUUUUCAUGUCUUGUCAUAUUUAACUUUCCUGUAUUACGUGAAGUAACAAACUUAAAACAUAA